CUUCCGCAAAAUUUUGUUCUUGCGAUAAAUGUUUGUUUCGUAAUUUGUCGCUUAAAUAUUUCUCAUAUUGUAUUGAAUAGUUCAUGCGCUUUUAAAUUUCACCCUGCUAAGCCGAACCAUUUUCUUUGUAAGAGUUAUCUCCCUAUUCACUGUUUAUCAUCAGAGUGCAUCUCCUUUAUAACAAAAAAAGAUAUCGACAAAAUUCUUUCUACAAAUUGUU
rnacentral:lncRNA from 1 species